AACGAACGCUGGCGGCAGGCCUAACACAUGCAAGUCGUGCGCGCCCUUCGGGGUGAGCGGCGGACGGGUGAGUAACGCGUGGGAACGUGCCCUUCAGUUGAGGAUAGCCCCGGGAAACUGGGAGUAAUACUCGAUACGCUCUACGGAGGAAUGAAGGAUCGGCCCGCGUUAGAUUAGGUAGUUGGUGCGGUAAUGGCGCACCAAGCCUACGAUCUAUAGCUGGUUUUAGAGGAUGAUCAGCCACACUGGGACUGAGACACGGCCCAG
rnacentral:rRNA from 1 species